GUCCUAGCUGUAAACGGUGCUUGCUUGCUGUAAAAGGAAUCGACCCCUUUUGUGGCGAAGCCAACGCGUUAAGCAAGCCGCCUGGGAAGUACGGUCGCAAGAUUAAAACUCAAAGAAAUUGACGGGGGCCUGCACAAGCGGUGGAGUAUGUGGCUUAAUUCGAUGCAACGCGAAGAACCUUACCUGGCCUUGACAUGUACGUAGUAGAAGGAUGAAAGUCUGACGAGGUAGCAAUACCAGCGUACACAGGUGCUGCAUGGCUGUCGU
rnacentral:rRNA from 1 species